AUGCAAUGUUACUAUCCUUUAUACAAUGAUGCAAUGUUACUAUCCUUUAUACAAUGAUGCAAUGUUACUAUCCUUUGUGCUAUGGUGAGGUGUUACUAUCCUUUGUACAAUGAUGCAAUGUUACUAUCCUUUGUGCUAUGGUGAGGUGUUACUAUCCUUUAUACAAUGAUGCAAUGUUACUAUCCUUUAUACAAUGAUGCAAUGUUACUAUCCUUUGUGCUAUGGUGAGGUGUUACUAUCCUUUGUACAAUGAUGCAAUGUUACUAUCCUUUGUACAAUGAUGCAAUGUUACUAUCCUUUGUGCAAUGUUGAGGUGUUACUACUGUAUCCUUUGUG